AAGCUUGAAGGUUUCCAGGACAUCACUCAAACCUGAGCAUGGACAUACAUAGUUAUACUUAUGGGAGCUGAGAGGAUUAAAGCCUAGGAACUGUCACACUGAAAUACAGACCUGGACUGCCUUGAGUAAAAAAAGAACUCCGUUAACUGACAACUCCAUCACCCCAUCAGACAGUGUGGCAGGGACAUUUCCCCUUCACCCUUUUGCAGGAUGCUGUAUCACCUUCAGACCCAAGGAACAUCACUAAGGACUCUGAAGAUCCACCCAAUUCAACUUAUGCUGCAUUAACAAAGGUACAGUUUAACCUUACUAGGAUAAAACCUUUGCCUACACAUUUAUUCAAAAAAUGCAGUAAAAUAUUUAACUAUUUGGUACUUCCUUAGGCAGUAACUUAGUAUUUUAACAGCCCAGAAAGUAGUGUACUUUAAUACUGAUAUAAUCUAAAUCAUUACAAACAUUUUACACUCACCCUCUCAUACAACUAGU
rnacentral:lncRNA from 1 species